CGGGAUGGCGGCUUGCUUAACACAUGCAAGUCGAACGGUGAAGCAGGAGCUUGCUCUUGUGGAUCAGUGGCGAACGGGUGAGUAACACGUGAGCAACCUGCCCCUGACUCUGGGAUAAGCGCUGGAAACGGCGUCUAAUACUGGAUAUGUGACGUGACCGCAUGGUCUGCGUUUGGAAAGAUUUUUCGGUUGGGGAUGGGCUCGCGGCCUAUCAGCUUGUUGGUGAGGUAAUGGCUCACCAAGGCGUCGACGGGUAGCCGGCCUGAGAGGGUGACCGGCCACACUGGGACUGAGACACGGCCCAGACUCCUACGGGAGGCAGCAGUGGGGAAUAUUGCACAAUGGGCGAAAGCCUGAUGCAGCAACGCCGCGUGAGGGAUGACGGCCUUCGGGUUGUAAACCUCUUUUAGCAGGGAAGAAGCGAAAGUGACGGUACCUGCAGAAAAAGCGCCGGCUAACUACGUGCCAGCAGCCGCGGUAAUACGUAGGGCGCAAGCGUUAUCCGGAAUUAUUGGGCGUAAAGAGCUCGUAGGCGGUUUGUCGCGUCUGCUGUGAAAUCCCGAGGCUCAACCUCGGGCCUGCAGUGGGUACGGGCAGACUAGAGUGCGGUAGGGGAGAUUGGAAUUCCUGGUGUAGCGGUGGAAUGCGCAGAUAUCAGGAGGAACACCGAUGGCGAAGGCAGAUCUCUGGGCCGUAACUGACGCUGAGGAGCGAAAGGGUGGGGAGCAAACAGGCUUAGAUACCCUGGUAGUCCACCCCGUAAACGUUGGGAACUAGUUGUGGGGUCCAUUCCACGGAUUCCGUGACGCAGCUAACGCAUUAAGUUCCCCGCCUGGGGAGUACGGCCGCAAGGCUAAACUCAAAGGAAUUGACGGGGACCCGCACAAGCGGCGGAGCAUGCGGAUUAAUUCGAUGCAACGCGAAGAACCUUACCAAGGCUUGACAUAUACGAGAACGGGCCAGAAAUGGUCAACUCUUGUGGCACA
rnacentral:rRNA from 1 species